rnacentral:lncRNA from 1 species
GUCGGCGCGGAUGAAUAAGGUUACGAAAACACGUGCGCCGCACGUUGGAAGUGACGUAAUCGCACCACUCUGUGAGUCAGGCGAGGUGGGGACGGACCGGUCAACGUGUAUAUAAUGCUACGCCCGCUGCGGCGGAGCGGACUCGGUGUUCGACUUCUGCUCUGUCAACACCUCUUAAUUGUGACGUUAAUCACACCUGAGUCACCUUAUUUGUUUAAUAUUUAACUCUGUAGUUAAAUUAAUACUUUGUGUUUUUAUUGUUUUCUUUUCAUUUUAUUUAAAUUCUAUUUAUUGAUUUGAUAAUGAAUCAGACGUUUAUUAUUUACUUUUACUUAAUGAAUUUAACGUUAAUUGUAAACCUGAUUGACGCUUCUUAAUUUUGUUUCCAUAAACAAUCAAUUUAUUGUUAGUAGCAAUUACUAUUUGUGUUUCAUCAAUUCACUGGGUUGUGUUUUCGCCAAUCCUUAUUUUAUUCAUAAUUUAUUUGGUUGUGAAGUGAAUAAACUUUUAUGAACCUUUGUUAUAAUGAUGUAUUUUACUUUCAUGCCCAAGGCACAAGAGUCACCCAUUUUGUAACUGAUUUCGGCGCCAGCUGAAAUCAGAAGUGGGAUCACUAGUGGGGCUUCCUCAGCCUCAUCUGCCCAUACUGAAGGAGACAACCACGACGCCGGUGUGAACGAAAUGCUGUCCGCAUUGGCCUAUACCUGCAGGACCAACCAACCAAGCCGUAACUCCAAAGAGGCGACGGCGUUAGAUCGCGGCAGUAAUGUGCCGCGAUCGGCAGCCGAUUGACGUGCAUAUGUGGGUAGAGCGAAAGUUUUUAGGAACUCGCUCAUCGUGAGGUAUGUACAAACUGGAUUUAAAAAUUAAAAAGGCCGACCCAAAGCUCUCGUUAAUUAGUCACCAAUUCAGUUUGACAAGCGAGCAGCGUCAAUGACGACAUGAUCAGGAUUUAAAUGCCACAUAGCGCGACCAGCCGAAUCUAUCACCAGGGCAUAGAAUGUCUGGAGGCGAGUCAUGUGGCGGCGGUCAUCGACUGUUUAAACAAUGAAUUUUUCCGACUGCGCAUUCUAUCUGGGCGUGAUGCUUUUGUGGCAAAAUCGAUUUCUGUAGCAGCCACAACCAAGCAUGUAGAACAAUCGAUGUAGAACGAGAGACUCGACUGGGAUAUAGUACGUGCCGUCGUAGAAGAUCAUGAGAUACCUUUUAGUGUUUUGAUGGGAUCCAGUAUGGAGCGGUGCGUCAGUUAAAAGAUUACUGUUUAGAUAUAACGAUACGUUUGUGAUAUUUCCGAGUGUCAAUUUAACGCAGGAGAUCCCAUUGAAAUUUCUGGCCAAGUAGCUUCAGCAGGCGCCAGAAAAUGGAGAUAAUCGACGGGCUGAUUAUCAAAGGAAUCUUUCAAGAGGGUAAAUCACAUUGUACUGGACGUGUGUGUGCGACGGACUGAAUUAAACAAAUGAGGUACCCAUUAAUUUUUCACUCUCAAGUUUCAGAUCGGACCGACGGAUUGUCGACAACUGCCUUUUGUCAAUUUGGACAUAGUUCAAGGACUUUGCCCAGUACCAAUCAAGAAAGAUUAUCUGCCGCGAACUGCCUUUAGUGUACCUGGCGGCCUUUGUUAGUACUAGAGAAUGUCUCAGCAGUGUCCCGAUGCACAGUAGUGUCUGGCUGCAUUGCCGCAACUUGGCCCACAUGGUCAAGAAAUAUUUUCUUUUGGUUUUUGCAGACUUUGCAGGGUACUUUCAAGUGUUUAAUGCUGUUUUGGUGUGAUGCGUACACUCGCAGAGACGUAGUUCGUGUUGGGCUGCUGCGGAGAGCACAGAACGGAGAUGCCGAGUUGUUGGUGUCGGUGCUCUAAUGACAUGGACAAGCUGGAUUGACAGAAGGUAACGCAAGAGCUUCUGCAAUAGCCGCAUACCGAAACAACAACAACCUGCAGACUGUGCGGUGCUGCAGCGACUUCUGGUGCGAGCGGUGUCAGCUGCUCGCCUGCCUCUAGCGAUUGCAUUCUGCUGCUGCAUGCUUCGGGGAUGCCGAGCAGCGGAGCUUUGGAGCAGGGAGUGGAAUGUAAGUCAAAUUUCGAAAUAUUCAGGCACAGUCGAGGAGCGUAACGUGGUAACAAAUAAGCAAACAGUAUUGCGGAUCGAAGUCAACAAAAUUCGGUGCUACACGAAAGCUCGAAGCCGAAUACAUCAACAGGUAAUUGGGCGCAGUAAGUGGAAGUAUCAAUGUUCAGCACUACUCUCCCGCUCAGACAGCUUGUAGGAAAUCUGAAGGUGGACUGCGGCCGACGUAUGUAAGUCUGAGCUCGUCAACAGAUAUCAUGACACUAUUUUGUCAUCGUAGGCUUACUGACGGUAUCAGCACUGCUCACUGAAUUGUGGUGGCUGGGAGAUGCCUCUUCUUCAGCAUAAGCAACUGUUUACUGGACGACGGCAUGCUGGUGCAGCGGCGCCAUGGGAGGACGGUGGUGCGUUGCAUCGAACGCUACGAUUUUGAUGCUUAUUGGUCCCGCGUAAGUAGGGGGUUUUUCUCCAGCAGUCGUUUGCCUGUUUCUCACCCUUGCAUCAUUGACAGGUAAUGACCGAGCGUUGCUUAUGUUCAUGCAGAAAUGUCCACAGUGUGUAUUCUUACAGUGGUCACGUGAGAUGGCUCGUAGCCACGUAGCGUAGCAUCCUCAGGUCCUUGAAGUCGUAAUUGGAUGUUGCUGUGUACAAGGCAUCACUCACGACGUUAUGCGCUUUUUCAAUCCAACUUGGGCGACCCGCUUGUGGGAGACCACCGGUUAGUGUAGAAACGAUGGUGGGUGAUUCCUUGUACGCAGUCACUGGUGAACCCACAUUAACUAUUAAAUGAUUUAAGUGCAUAUUGAGCUCGGUUAUAUUCAUACAACUAGCUUCUGCCAGCGACUUCGUCCGCGUUGGAUUUGGACUUGGUGCAAAGAGAGGCUAUCGACAGUUAAACGUGUUAUUGUGAGCCAGCCAUAAGAGAUAGACGUGUGCUGUCCGGGUAUAUUUUUUACAUAAUUUUAAGGAGAACAUUUCCGUCAUACAUUGUUUUUGUGUAGCUUUAACCACUAGGGCUGCACACGCGACGGAAGCAUAAAAGACGGAGUGACUUCUCCCGUUUUCCCAACAUUUACCUUUACUGCUCUGCUCCUAUUGACCAUAGCGUGAUGAAGAGUAUCCUAUAACCUGCCCAGGAGUACAGAGAAUCAUUGUACCAAGUUUCGUUGAAAUCCGUCAAGUAGUUUUCGUUCCCAUAACGAACAUACAGACAGACAGAUAGACAGACAGACAAAAAUUUUACUGAUUGCAUUUUUGGCAUCAGUAUCGAUCACUAAUCAAUCACCCCCUAAUAGUUAUUUUGGAAAUAUAUUCAAUGUACAGAAUUGACCUCUCUUCAGAUUUAUUAUAAGUAUAGAUAAAACAACAAGAUUUGAUAGUUUAUUUGCAGCAGUUGCAGGAAAUGCGCGCGAUGCGCAUCUAUCGACUGGCGGUUGAAGACUAGUGGUGGCACGGUGGCGGCGGAGAUGCGAGCGACAAGCAUAUCUACGCACCAUUCCCGGCCGUCGUGAAUAUAGUCGAGGGCGACCAUUGUGCAGAAUGGCCGUGUCGGCGCGGAUGAAUAAGGUUACGAAAACACGUGCGCCGCACGUUGGAAGUGACGUAAUCGCACCACUCUGUGAGUCAGGCGAGGUGGGGACGGACCGGUCAACGUGUAUAUAAUGCUACGCCCGCUGCGGCGGAGCGGACUCGGUGUUCGACUUCUGCUCUGUCAACACCUCUUAAUUGUGACGUUAAUCACACCUGAGUCACCUUAUUUGUUUAAUAUUUAACUCUGUAGUUAAAUUAAUACUUUGUGUUUUUAUUGUUUUCUUUUCAUUUUAUUUAAAUUCUAUUUAUUGAUUUGAUAAUGAAUCAGACGUUUAUUAUUUACUUUUACUUAAUGAAUUUAACGUUAAUUGUAAACCUGAUUGACGCUUCUUAAUUUUGUUUCCAUAAACAAUCAAUUUAUUGUUAGUAGCAAUUACUAUUUGUGUUUCAUCAAUUCACUGGGUUGUGUUUUCGCCAAUCCUUAUUUUAUUCAUAAUUUAUUUGGUUGUGAAGUGAAUAAACUUUUAUGAACCUUUGUUAUAA